AUUGAACGCUGGCGGCAUGCCUUACACAUGCAAGUCGAACGGCAGCACGGGUGCUUGCACCUGGUGGCGAGUGGCGAACGGGUGAGUAAUACAUCGGAACGUACCUUAUCGUGGGGGAUAACGCAGCGAAAGCUGUGCUAAUACCGCAUACGCCCUGAGGGGGAAAGCGGGGGAUCGCAAGACCUCGCGCGAUUAGAGCGGCCGAUGCCUGAUUAGCUUGUUGGUGGGGUAAAAGCCCACCAAGGCGACGAUCAGUAGCUGGUCUGAGAGGACGAUCAGCCAAACUGGGACGGAGACUCGGCCCAGACUCCUACGGGAGGCAGCAGUGGGUAAUUUUGGACAAUGGGGGCAACCCUGAUCCAGCAAUGCCGCGUGAGUGAAGAAGGCCUUCGGGUUGUAAAGCUCUUUUGUCAGGGAAGAAACACCGGCUCUAACACAGUCCGGGAAUGACGGUACCUGAAGAAUAAGCACCGGCUAACUACGUGCCAGCAGCCGCCGUAA
rnacentral:rRNA from 1 species